GACGAAGGAUCCAAGCGUUAUCCGGAUUCAUUGGGUUUAAAGGGUGCGUAGGCGGAUUUGUAAGUCAGUGGUGAAAGCCGAUGGCUCAACUAUCGAACUGCCAUUGAUACUGCAGAUCUAGAAUAUAGAUGAUGUUGGCGGAAUAUGACAUGUAGCGGUGAAAUGCAUAGAUAUGUCAUAGAACACCGAUUGCGAAGGCAGCUGACAAAACUAUUAUUGACGCUGAUGCACGAAAGUGCGGGGAUCAAACAGG
rnacentral:rRNA from 1 species